rnacentral:rRNA from 1 species
GAUGAACGCUGGCGGCGUGCCUAAUACAUGCAAGUCGAGCGAACGGACGAUAAGCUUGCUUCUCUGAUGUUAGCGGCGGACGGGUGAGUAACACGUGGAUAACCUACCUAUAUGACUGGGAUAACUUCGGGAAACCGGAGCUAAUACCGGAUAAUAUUUUGAACCGCAUGGUUCAAAAGUGAAAGACGGUCUUGCUGUCACUUAUAGCUGGAUCCGCGCUGCAUUAGCUAGUUGGUAAGGUAACGGCUUACCAAGGCAACGAUGCAUAGCCGACCUGAGAGGGUGAUCGGCCACACUGGAACUGAGACACGGUCCAGACUCCUACGGGAGGCAGCAGUAGGGAAUCUUCCGCAAUGGGCGAAAGCCUGACGGAGCAACGCCGCGUGAGUGAUGAAGGUCUUCGGAUCGUAAAGCUCUGUUAUUAGGGAAGAACAUAUGUGUAAGUAACUGUGCACAUCUUGACGGUACCUAAUCAGAAAGCCACGGCUAACUACGUG